rnacentral:rRNA from 1 species
UGGGGAAUUUUGGACAAUGGGCGCAAGCCUGAUCCAGCCAUGCCGCGUGCGGGAAGAAGGCCUUCGGGUUGUAAACCGCUUUUGUCAGGGAAGAAAUCUUCUGAGUUAAUACCUCGGGAGGAUGACGGUACCUGAAGAAUAAGCACCGGCUAACUACGUGCCAGCAGCCGCGGUAAUACGUAGGGUGCAAGCGUUAAUCGGAAUUACUGGGCGUAAAGCGUGCGCAGGCGGUUUUGUAAGACAGAGGUGAAAUCCCCGGGCUCAACCUGGGAACUGCCUUUGUGACUGCAAGGCUUGAGUGCGGCAGAGGGGGAUGGAAUUCCGCGUGUAGCAGUGAAACGCGUAGAUAUGCGGAGGAACACCGAUGGCGAAGGCAAUCCCCCUGGGCCUGCACUGACGCUCAUGCACGAAAGCGUGGGGAGCAAACAGGAUUAGAUAGCCCUGGUAGUCCACGCCCUAAACGAUGUCAACUGGUUGUUGGGAAGGUUCCUUCUCAGUAACGUAGCUAACGCGUGAAGUUGACCGCCUGGGGAGUACGGCCGCAAGGUUGAAACUCAAAGGAAUUGACGGGGG